GUGGAAGUGAUUGUAGGCAGCCGUGGUAAUGCGGAGGUGGCAAGCGUUAUGCGGAAUUAUUGGGCGUAAAGUGCGCGUAGGCGGGUUUUUAAGUCUGAUGGGAAAGCCCACGGCUCAACCGUGGAGGGUCAUUGGAAACUGGAAAACUUGAGUGCAGAAGAGGAAAGUGGAAUUCCAUGUGUAGCGGUGAAAUGCGCAGAGAUAUGGAGGAACACCAGUGGCGAAGGCGACUUUCUGGUCUGCAACUGACGCUGAUGUGCGAAAGCGUGGGGAUCAAACAGGAUUAGAUACCCCGUAGUC
rnacentral:rRNA from 1 species